rnacentral:rRNA from 1 species
UUUGAGAGUUUGGAUCCUGGCUCAGGAUGAACGCUGGCGGCGUGCCUAAUACAUGCAAGUCGAACGAACUUCCGUUAAUUGAUCAGGACGUGCUUGCACUGAAUGAGAUUUUAACACGAAGUGAGUGGCGGACGGGUGAGUAACACGUGGGUAACCUGCCCAGAAGCAGGGGAUAACACCUGGAAACAGAUGCUAAUACCGUAUAACAGAGAAAACCGCCUGGUUUUCUUUUAAAAGAUGGCUCUGCUAUCACUUCUGGAUGGACCCGCGGCGCAUUAGCUAGUUGGUGAGGUAACGGCUCACCAAGGCGAUGAUGCGUAGCCGACCUGAGAGGGUAAUCGGCCACAUGAA